rnacentral:rRNA from 1 species
AUUGAACGCUGGCGGCAUGCCUUACACAUGCAAGUCGAACGGCAGCGGACCUUCGGGUGCCGGCGAGUGGCGAACGGGUGAGUAAAGUAUCGGAACGUACCUUUCAGUGGGGGAUAACGUAGCGAAAGUUACGCUAAUACCGCAUAUUCUCUGAGGAGGAAAGCAGGGGACCUUCGGGCCUUGCGCUGAUGGAGCGGCCGAUAUCAGAUUAGCUAGUGGGUGGGGUAAAGGCCUACCAAGGCGACGAUCUGUAGAGGGUCUGAGAGGAUGAUCCGCCACACUGGGACUGAGACACGGCCCAGACUCCUACGGGAGGAAGCAGUGGGGAAUUGUGGACAAUGGGCGAAAGCCUGAUCCAGCCAUGCCGCGUGAGUGAAGAAGGCCUUCGGGUUGUAAAGCUCUUUCGGCCGGGAAGAAAUCGUGUGGGCUAAUACCCUGCAUGGAUGACGGUACCGGAAUAAGAAGCACCGGCUAACUACGUGCCAGCCGCCGCCGUAACAC